rnacentral:misc_RNA from 1 species
AUAAGCUUUGUGAAACCCCAAUUAUUGGCGGAAGUGCAGAAUUUAUUAUUAGCUUUUUGCUCACGAUGAACUCCAAAAAGUUGAUCCCUCACACGCAGGAUGAAUUCAGUAAAGAGCUUCUGUCCGGAGUAAAAAGGUUUUGAAUCCUCCAAGUGUAAAAACAUGGACAAGCAUUUGCCUUUCUCUUCUGAAUACCCAUUGGGAUAAAGCGUCAAACACCAUUUGUAUCCACCAAUAACAAACACCUGAGAUGUAUAUCCUACUUGGUUCCAAUCUGAAAACUUUUGAAUUUUCCAAGUGUAGG